UACGGAGGGUGCAAGCGUUAAUCGGAAUUACUGGGCGUAAAGGGUGCGUAGGUGGUUUGGUAAGUUAACUGUGAAAGCCCUGGGCUUAACCUGGGAAUUGCAGUUAAGACUGUCGAACUCGAGUAUGGGAGAGGGUAGUGGAAUUUCCGGUGUAGCGGUGAAAUGCGUAGAGAUCGGAAGGAACACCAGUGGCGAAGGCGGCUACCUGGCCUAAUACUGACACUGAGGCACGAAAGCGUGGGGAGCAAACAGG
rnacentral:misc_RNA from 1 species